UCUUUAUUUUGACAUCUAAGAAGUAAAAAUCCUUCAUUCUUUUACCUUAUUUAUCUCAUGUUUUUGCUUUAUUCAGAUGACUGGUCGAGGCUUAUAUUUGUGGGAAUAAAAAUGAUCCACCAAAUGACACGUCAGCAUUACCUCCAAAGAUUGUAUCUCUUAUUGUUGAAAGUGUAGCUCACAAUACAACUGACAGUGUAUUUUCCCCUGAGGUAGGCAGAGAUGUUGAGGUUUCUGGAUCUCCAACAGAGAAGGCCAUACUUCAAUGGGGGGUUAAGCUUGGAAUGAAUUUUGAUGUCGUGAGGUCAGAGUGUUCAGUUCUUUAUGCAUCCUCAUUCAAAUCCGAGAAAAAAA